GUGAAUCAUCAAAUCUUUGAACGCAAAUUGCACUCUCCGGUUUUCCGGGAGAGUAUGCCUGUUUGAGGGCCAGCCUAAAUAAAAUCGGCUUAGUAGUUCGCUGUGUGUUUCACGGUAACGUUGGUCGGAACUUGGGUCAUCUUAAACCGAAAGGUUCUUAAGCGACUUAUAAUUUUCUUACGAUCUCGCGUACGUUUCUAAGAUUUUUCUGCA
rnacentral:misc_RNA from 1 species